rnacentral:rRNA from 1 species
UACGGGGGGGGCAAGCGUUGUUCGGAAUUACUGGGCGUAAAGGGUCUGUAGGUGGCUUGCUAAGUCAGACGUGAAAUCCCCAGGCUCAACCUGGGAACUGCGUCUGAUACUGGAUGGCUUGAAUUCGGGAGAGGGAUGCAGAAUUCCAGGUGUAGCGGUGAAAUGCGUAGAUAUCUGGAGGAAUACCGGUGGCGAAGGCGGCAUCCUGGACCGACAUUGACGCUGAGGAGCGAAAGCUAGGGGAGCAAACGGG